UGGCCUACGGGAGGCAGCAGUGAGGAAUAUUGGUCAAUGGGCUAAGGCCUGAACCAGCCAAGUCGCGUGAGGGAAGACGGUCCUAUGGAUUGUAAACCUCUUUUGUCGGGGAGCAACGAGGCCACGUGUGGCCGAAGUGAGAGUACCCGAAGAAAAAGCAUCGGCUAACUCCGUGCCAGCAGCCGCGGUAAUACGGAGGGCGCGAGCGUUAAUCGGAAUUACUGGGCGUAAAGCGCGCGUAGGCUGUUGUGUAAGUUGGGGGUGAAAUCCCACGGCUCAACCGUGGAACAGCCCUUGAUACUGCG
rnacentral:rRNA from 1 species